rnacentral:rRNA from 1 species
UACGGGAAGGGCAAGCGUUAUCCGGCGUGACUGGGCGUAAAGAGUCCGUAGACGGUAAAGUAAGUUUAUUGUUAAAUGUUAAAACUUAAUUUUAAUAGAGCAAUAAAUACUGCUUUACUUUGAGUUUAAUAUAGAAAAGUAGAAUUUAUAUGGUAGGGUGAAAUCCGUAGAUAUAUAAAGGAAUGUCAACAGCGAAGGCAACUUUUGGUAUAACUGACGUUGAGGGACGAAAGUGUGGGAGCAAACAGG